AUAAUUUUAAUUCUUUUACGCCUUAAGGUAGUUCCAGCAUGAAAUCACUUUUCGACAGAGUCGGCUGAAAUUUUUUUACGGGUUCAGAAUAGCUUUAUUUAUAAAUUCCUAAAAUUUCAUAAUUUUUGACCGUUUAGAUCGCGAGAUAUUUAAAGUCAAAGUUGGCGAUUUUGAGGGUCAUGUUCCAUUUAAAGUAUGUAAAAUGUCCGGUUUCUCCAAGUAUUUUUUAUUAUAUUAAAAAAUUCUCUGGACAGAAUUGGAAAAAAAAUUAGGAGAGUGUUGAAAAAUGUGUUUAGAAUAAGUUAAAAAAAUAAAAGUAGCACCUCACCGUUUUGUUAUCGAGAUAUAAUAAUUAAAAAAAAAUAAUUUUCGAUCCAUUUCUAACCUGCUUAUUGAACAAUUUAUAGCGAUUCGGCAAUGCCGUG